GUGGAUUAGAUUCCCUGGUAGUCCACGCUGUAAACGAUGUCAACUAGCUGUUGGUUAUAUGAAAAUAAUUAGUGGCGCAGCAAACGCGAUAAGUUGACCGCCUGGGGAGUACGGUCGCAAGAUUAAAACUCAAAGGAAUUGACGGGGGCCCGCACAAGCGGUGGAGCAUGUGGUUUAAUUCGAUGCAACGCGAAGAACCUUACCUACCCUUGACAUACAGUGGAGCUUGCAGAGAUGUGAGUGUGCCUUCGGGAACACUGAUACAGGUGCUGCACGGCCGUCGACAGCU
rnacentral:rRNA from 1 species